rnacentral:rRNA from 1 species
UAAUACGUAGGGUGCAAGCGUUAAUCGGAAUUACUGGGCGUAAAGCGUGCGCAGGCGGAUGAUUAAGUUAGAAGUGAAAUCCCCGGGCUUAACCUGGGAAUUGCUUUUGAUACUGGUCAUCUAGAGUUUGUCAGAGGGGGGUGGAAUUCCAAGUGUAGCAGUGAAAUGCGUAGAGAUUUGGAGGAACACCAAUGGCGAAGGCAGCCCCCUGGGAUAGAACUGACGCUCAUGCACGAAAGCGUGGGUAGCAAACAGG